rnacentral:tRNA from 1 species
UGGCCUAAUGGACAAGGCAUCGGUCUCCUAAAUCGAAGAUUGUGGACUCAAGUCCCGC